AACGACGCUGGCGGCAGGCUUAACACAUGCAAGUCGAACGCCCCGCAAGGGGAGUGGCAGACGGGUGAGUAACGCGUGGGAACCUACCUUCGGUACGGAAUAACUCGGGGAAACUCGUGCUAAUACCGUAUAUUCCGGUAACGGGAAAGAUUUAUCGCCGAAAGACGGGCCCGCGUUAGAUUAGCUAGUUGGUGGGGUAAUGGCCUACCAAGGCAACGAUCUAUAGCUGGUCUGAGAGGAUGAUCAGCCACACUGGGACUGAGACACGGCCCAACUCCUACGGGAGGCAGCAGUGGGGAAUCUUGGACAAUGGGGGAAACCCUGAUCCAGCCAUGCCGCGUGAGUGAUGACCGGCCUUAGGGUUGUAAAGCUCUUUCGACGGGGACGAUAAUGACGGUACCCGUAAAGAA
rnacentral:rRNA from 1 species